rnacentral:rRNA from 1 species
UAGGGAAUCUUCCGCAAUGGGCGAAAGCCUGACGGAGCAACGCCGCGUGAGUGAUGAAGGUCUUCGGAUCGUAAAACUCUGUUAUUAGGGAAGAACAAAUGUGUAAGUAACUAUGCACGUCUUGACGGUACCUAAUCAGAAAGCCACGGCUAACUACGUGCCAGCAGCCGCGGUAAUACGUAGGUGGCAAGCGUUAUCCGGAAUUAUUGGGCGUAAAGCGCGCGUAGGCGGUUUUUUAAGUCUGAUGUGAAAGCCCACGGCUCAACCGUGGAGGGUCAUUGUAAACUGGAAAACUUGAGUGCAGAAGAGGAAAGUGGAAUUCCAUGUGUAGCGGUGAAAUGCGCAGAGAUAUGGAGGAACACCAGUGGCGAAGGCGACUUUCUGGUCUGUAACUGACGCUGAUGUGCGAAAGCGUGGGGAUCAAACAGG